rnacentral:lncRNA from 1 species
GAGGGAUGUUUCCUUGGAUGAAAGGUACGAAAAUGUGGUGGUAAAUGGUUCAAGGAUGAUGAGUUAAGGUAUGGAUGGGGUAGAAGCUCAAAGGCUCUAGGAGAUAUGGUGGUGGUGGUGUAGUGUUUGGUGGCUCCAAGAGAGGUUAGGCCAACUUAAGGAGGAAGGUGACUAGAGGGCCUCAUGGGUUGCUCUAGUCUUGAUCUAAGAUGAGUAGUAUGGCCAAAAAUGGGCAGCAUAACAUUACUCAAAAUCAAAGAUGAAAUACAAGGGUGGAGACACCUCUAUUUAUAGGCCAAGGGUGUCUCCUUCUAACCCUAAAAGCACGAU